rnacentral:misc_RNA from 1 species
AACGCAUCUUGCGCUCCUUGGUAUUCCGAGGAGCAUGCCUGUUUGAGUGUCAUUAAAUUCUGUCAAAACAUGCACUUGAGUGUGUGUUUUGGAUUGUGGGAGUGUCUGCUGGCUUUAAAUGAGUCAGCUCUCCUGAAAGACAUUAGCUUUGGAGGGAUGUGCCAAGUCACUUCUGCCUUUCCAUUGGUGUGAUAGAUGAAUAAACUUAUCUACGCCAGGAAAGCAGGUUUCAGGUGAUGCACUGUGAUCUCUCUGCUCUCUAAUUGACAUUUGUCUGAUAACUUGACCUCAAAUCAGGUAGGACUACCCGCUGAACUUAA